rnacentral:rRNA from 1 species
AACGAACGCUGGCGGCAGGCCUAACACAUGCAAGUCGAGCGCGCCCUUCGGGGUGAGCGGCGGACGGGUGAGUAACGCGUGGGAACGUGCCCUUUUCUACGGGAAUAGUUUCGGGAAACUGGGGGUAAUACCGUAUACGCCCUUCGGGGAAGAUUAUCGAGAAGGAUCGGCCGCGUUGGAUUAGGUAGUUGGUGGGGUAAUGGCCUACCAAAGCCGACGAUCCAUAGCUGGUUUGAGAGGAUGAUCAGCCACACUGGGACUGAGACACGGCCCAGACUCCUACGGGAGGCAGCAGUGGGGAAUCUUAGACAAUGGGCGCAAGCCUGAUCUAGCCAUGCCGCGUGAGCGAUGAAGGCCUUAGGGUUGUAAAGCUCUUUCAGGGGGGAAGAUAAUGACUGUA